rnacentral:rRNA from 1 species
GAUGAACGCUAGCUACAGGCUUAACACAUGCAAGUCGCGGGACCGGCGCACGGGUGAGUAACGCGUAUCCAACCUGCCCUUCACCACGGGAUAACCCGGCGAAAGUCGGACUAAUACCGUAUGGUGCAGGCUGGGGAUGCGUCCGAUUGGCUGGACGGCGGGGUAACGGCCCACCGUGGCUCCGUGCGGUAGGGGUUCUGAGAGGGAGGUUCCCCACACUGUAACUGAGACACGGUCCAGACUCCGACGGGAGGAAGCAGUUAGGAAUAUUGGUCAAUGGGCGUAAGCCGGAACCAGCCAAGUAGCGUGCAGGACGACGGCCUAUGGGUUGUAAACUGCUUUUAUGCGGGGAUAGGUACCGCAUGAAUAAGGACCGGCUAAUUCCGUGCCAGCCGCCGCGGUAAUAC